CAGGUGAUGAUCCUGAAAUGGU
rnacentral:misc_RNA from 1 species